rnacentral:rRNA from 1 species
UGUGCAACCUGCCUUUAUCAGGGGGAUAGCCUUUCGAAAGGAAGAUUAAUACCCCAUAAUAUAUUUUGAGGCAUCUUAAGAUAUUGAAAACUCCGGUGGAUAAAGAUGGGCACGCGCAAGAUUAGAUAGUUGGUGGGGUAACGGCCUACCAAGUCAAUGAUCUUUAGGGGGCCUGAGAGGGUGAUCCCCCACACUGGUACUGAGACACGGACCAGACUCCUACGGGAGGCAGCAGUGAGGAAUAUUGGACAAUGGGUGCGAGCCUGAUCCAGCCAUCCCGCGUGAAGGACGACGGCCCUAUGGGUUGUAAACUUCUUUUGUACAGGGAUAAACCUUUCCACGAGUGGAAAGCUGAAGGUACUGUACGAAUAAGCACCGGCUAACUCCGUGCCAGCAGCCGCGGUAAUACGGAGGGUGCAAGCGUUAUCCGGAUUUAUUGGGUUUAAAGGGUCCGUAGGCGGAUCAGUAAGUCAGUGGUGAAAUCUCAUAGCUCAACUAUGAAACUGCCAUUGAUACUGCUGGUCUUGAGUAAGGUAGAAGUAGCUGGAAUAAGUAGUGUAGCGGUGAAAUGCAUAGAUAUUACUUAGAACACCAAUUGCGAAGGCAGGUUACUAUGUCUUAACUGACGCUGAUGGACGAAAGCGUGGGGAGCGAACAGGAUUAGAUACCCUGGUAGUCCACGCUGUAAACGAUGCUAACUCGUUUUUGGGUCUUUAAGAUUCAGAGACUAAGCGAAAGUGAUAAGUUAGCCACCUGGGGAGUACGUUCGCAAGAAUGAAACUCAAAGGAAUUGACGGGGGCCCGCACAAGCGGUGGAUUAUGUGGUUUAAUUCGAUGAUACGCGAGGAACCUUACCAAGGCUUAAAUGGGAAUUGAUCGGUUUAGAAAUAGACCUUCCCUUCGGGCAAUUUUCAAGGUGCUGCAUGGUUGUCGUCAGCUCGUGCCGUGAGGUGUUAGGUUAAGUCCUGCAACGAGCGCAACCCCUGUCACUAGUUGCCAUCAUUAAGUUGGGGACUCUAGUGAGACUGCCUACGCAAGUAGAGAGGAAGGUGGGGAUGACGUCAAAUCAUCACGGCCCUUACGCCUUGGGCCACACACGUAAUACAAUGGCCGGUACAGAGGGCAGCUACACAGCGAUGUGAUGCAAAUCUCGAAAGCCGGUCUCAGUUCGGAUUGGAGUCUGCAACUCGA